rnacentral:misc_RNA from 1 species
UCACCCAUUUGGUUGAAAUUCACAACCAGCACUUUCAACAGCCAACAACAUCAAAUACAAACAAUAGAAACAUGGAAGCUUGCUUUAUGUGUUCUCGAGCUAUUUAUUUCUUUGCAAUUAGCCAGUGCAUAGAAAGAUGACAGUGAAAAGCAUCAGAUAGAAAUACCUAACUUCUUCUUCAAAUUCUCAACCUCUAAAUAUACUGUGGAGUAAGGGAGAAACUCUGAGAAAUGGUUUUUGCUGAGAUCGUUAAU